AGUGGGUAAGGCAAUCAUCACAGAUACUAUUGCUACUGCUAGGGUAUUUCCUUGCUGCGCAUUCUUUUCAACCGAAAGUCUGAAUACUACACCAAAGUUGUGUUAUUCUCCCAUCUCUAAUACCAUUAUCACGUCGGAACUUGGAAACAUGUCUACACCGGUGGAAGCAAAGAUCGCGUCGUUGAUGCUUUCAUCGGAAUUUGCCAAUCUGGCAUCAGAGGCUUAGCGCAUGGUCAUCUUUGGUGUCGAUUGACUUCACAUGGACAUAAUGGUAACUGGCAAAAAAAUGUUAAGCAGAUAAAGUCGAAAGGCAUGCGGCCUAGUGUGGCUUUAAAGCCAGGAACACCAGUUGAGGUUCUUUCUGGUAGUGCAUAAAACACCCUCCUCUUGAUGUUAAUAUAUGCUUUUUUUUGUCACUGGUUGGUUGACAGCUUGAAUGUGAAAUUUGUGUUGAAAUGAUUCUUCUUAUGACUAUGGAGCCUGGAUUUAGUGGGCAGAAGCUCAUUCCAAAUAUGAUGAAUAAUGUGGCAUGAGUCAUGUACUGUUUGUUUAUGGGGAGUUUGUUACCAAUUUGCAUUAAACGAUUUUGUAUUUUUCCCUGGAUUUGGUUUUAGGUGCGCACACUGAGAGAAAAAUAUAUGAAGCUUGAUAUAGAGGUAGAUGGAGGUUUAGGGCCUUCAACCAUUGAUUAGGCAGUUACUGCAGGCGCAAACUGCAUUGUUGCUAGCAGUUCAAUUUUUGGAGACCUGACUCGAGUUAUAUCCCUACUCAAAGCAUCUGUCAACUACAACAACCGCUUCAAACUUUAUAAAGAUAACACUUUUACUAAAUCAUCCAUCCCACUUUACGACUUGUUUCUACUACUAUAGUCUGUAUAUGUAGAAACAAGACUACACUUUUGUUAAUGAUAUAAAAUAAUGUGACUUGUACUGUAAUU